GACAAAAGAAGCAAGGAACCUCACUGCUGUGUCUUUUCCCCAAAAUCUGCCAUCAUCCCCAGAAUUACCUUCAAAGUGAGCAAGCAAGCUAGCUUACAUUUUCAGCAAAACCAGAGCAACCAUUCAUUGUUUGGUGGAGGCAGAGAAACUCAAGGAG